GUAUGGGAAGGCCGACCAUAGCGGGUGAUAGUCCCGUAAGCGAAAACUGAGUUCUGUCAGCUGGGAUCCAGAGUACCGCAGGACACGUGAAACCCUGUGGGAAACAGGGGGGACCACCCUCCAAGCCUAAAUACUACCUGAUGACCGAUAGAGGAGCAGUACCGUGAGGGAAAGGUGAAAAGAACCCCGGGAGGGGAGUGAAAUAGAACCUGAAACCGCAUGCAUACAAACAGUAGGAGCCUCGUCAGAGGUGACUGCGUACCUUUUGCAUAAUGGGUCAGCGACUUACAUUCUGUGGCGAGCUUAACCGAAUAGGGGAGGCGCAGCGAAAGCGAGUUCGAAAUGAGCGUCCAGUCGCAGGGUGUAGACCCGAAACCAGAUGAGCUAUCCAUGGCCAGGUUGAAGGUGUGGUAACACACACUGGAGGACCGAACCGACUAGUGUUGCAAAAUUAGCGGAUGAGCUGUGGAUAGGGGUGAAAGGCCAAACAAAUCUGGAGAUAGCUGGUUCUCCCCGAAAACUAUUGAGGUAGUGCCUCGUGUGUCGCUCCAGGGGGUAGAGCACUGUUUUGGCUAGGGGGACAUGGAGUCUUACCAAACCAAGGCAAACUCCGAAUACCUGGAAGCGUAAGCACGGGAGACAGAGCACCGGGUGCUAACGUCCGGACUCAAAAGGGAAACAACCCAGACCGCCGGCUAAGGUCCCCAAUAACAGCUAAGUGGAAAACGAAGUGGAAAGGCCGUGACAACCAGGAAGUUGGCUUAGAAGCAGCCAUCCUUCAAAGAAAGCGUAAUAGCUCACUGGUCGAGUCCUUCUGCGCGGAAGAUGUAACGGGGCUAAGCUGUUAACCGAAGCCGCGGAUGCGCUGGUUAUCCAGUGCGUGGUAGGGGAGCGUUCUGUAAGUCUGCGAAGGCGGUUCGAGAGGACUGCUGGAGAUAUCAGAAGUGCGAAUGCUGACAUGAGUAACGUUAAAGCAGGUGAAAAGCCUGCUCGCCGUAAGCCCAAGGAUUCCUGCUCUACGUUCAUCGGAGCAGGGUGAGUCGGCUCCUAAGGUCAGGCCGAAAGGCGUAGCCGAUGGGAAUCAGGUUAAUAUUCCUGAACCUGCGUCAGAUGCGAUGGGGGGACGGAGCAUGAAAGAUCAUCCGGGUGUUGGAUGUCCCGGUUGACGAGCGUAGGAGGUCUGCAGGCAAAUCCGCAGACGCAUCUCCAAGGCGAAGUCACGUGCCGCCACGGCGGCGAAGUGAUCGGAAGUGCUUCCAAGAAAAGCCUCUAAGCACCAGUCUGGCGCGGACCGUACCGCAAACCGACACUGGUGGGCGAGCUGAAUAUGCUCAGGCGCUUGAGAGAACUCGGGAGAAGGAACUCGGCAAAUUGACACCGUAACUUCGGAAGAAGGUGUGCCGUAGUACCGUGAGAGGAGAGACACCUUGAGCGGGAAUCGGUCUCAGAGAAUAGGUGGCUGCGACUGUUUAUUAAAAACACAGCACUCUGCAAAGUCGAAAGACGACGUAUAGGGUGUGAUGCCUGCCCGGUGCUGGAAGAUUAAUUGAUGGGGUGAGAGCCCUUGAUCGAAGUCCCAGUAAACGGCGGCCGUAACUAUAACGGUCCUAAGGUAGCGAAAUUCCUUGUC
rnacentral:rRNA from 1 species